GAUGAACGCUGGCGGCGUGCCUAAUACAUGCAAGUCGAGCGAACGGACGAGAAGCUUGCUUCUCUGAUGUUAGCGGCGGACGGGUGAGUAACACGUGGAUAACCUACCUAUAAGACUGAGAUAACUUCGGGAAACCGGAGCUAAUACCGGAUAAUAUUUUGAACCGCAUGGUUCAAAAGUGAAAGACGGUCUUGCUGUCACUUAUAGAUGGAUCCGCGCUGCAUUAGCUAGUUGGUAAGGUAACGGCUUACCAAGGCAACGAUGCAUAGCCGACCUGAGAGGGGGAUCGGCCACACUAGAACUGAGACACGGUCCAGACUCCUACGGGAGGCAGCAGUAGGGAAUCGUCCGCAAUGGGCGAAAGCCUGACGGAGCAACGCCGCGUGAGUGAUGAAGGUCUUCGGAUCGUAAAACUCUGUUAUUAGGGAAGAACAUAUGUGUAAGUAACUGUGCACAUCUUGACGGUACCUAAUCAGAAAGCCACGGCUAACUACGUG
rnacentral:rRNA from 1 species